GAUCGGCUCAGGACGAACGCUGGCGGCGUGCCUAAUACAUGCAAGUAGAACGCUGAAGGAGGAGCUUGCUUCUCCGGAUGAGUUGCGAACGGGUGAGUAACGCGUAGGUAACCUGCCUGGUAGCGGGGGAUAACUAUUGGAAACGAUAGCUAAUACCGCAUAAUAGUAGAUGUUGCAUGACAUUUGCUUAAAAGGUGCAAUUGCAUCACUACCAGAUGGACCUGCGUUGUA
rnacentral:rRNA from 1 species